GAUGAACGCUGGCGGCGUGCUUAACACAUGCAAGUCGAACGGUGAACACGGAGCUUGCUCUGUGGGAUCAGUGGCGAACGGGUGAGUAACACGUGAGCAACCUGCCCCUGACUCUGGGAUAAGCGCUGGAAACGGCGUCUAACACUGGAUACGAGUAGCGGCCGCAUGGUCAGUUACUGGAAAGAAUUUCGGUUGGGGAUGGGCUCGCGGCCUAUCAGCUUGUUGGUGAGGUAAUGGCUCACCAAGGCGUUGACGGGUAGCCGGCCUGAGAGGGUGACCGGCCACACUGGGACUGAGACACGGCCCAGACUCCUACGGGAGGCAGCAGUGGGGAAUAUUGCACAAUGGGCGCAAGCCUGAUGCAGCAACGCCGCGUGAGGGAUGACGGCCUUCGGGUUGUAAACCUCUUUUAGCAGGGAAGAAGCGAAAGUGACGGUACCUGCAGAAAAAGCGCCGGCUAACUACGUGCCAGCAGCCGCCGUAA
rnacentral:rRNA from 1 species